UGGCUAAUGAUGAUAUGACCACUGUACAGUGUGAGAUCUGGAAACUAGGUGAUGGAAUGUGUUCUGAAAACAGACAGGCCA